rnacentral:lncRNA from 1 species
GUUGCCAUCUGCUGGUGAAAAGGAGUACUGCGCAGACUUUGAGCCACAGGUGAAAACAAUGAUGGGGUGAUUGUUAAGACACAGUUCAAACAAAAGGGAGUGUGGAGGAAAGCAUGAGAACCUCGAGCAUGUCUGACAGAUAUUUUGAAAUCCUGCGAGACAGCCGUCUGUCAUGGAAUGACAUCCCCUUAGGUCGACAGCUCCCCAGGACUCCUCCUUUGACGGGUGUGAAGAAACACUUGGACUUCUGUAAUGAAGACACAAGUGAGGAUCAUGAGAACCAGCAGCAGAACGUGGAGGCCGAGACUACAGCUCAAGAGGACAAUAACCAAAACGUGACGUUUGAUUUCAACACGCACGAGACAGAAACGGAACCACAUGAGCCGAACUCCAUGCUGAAAGGGAUGAAGGGGUAUCAGCUGACACAGAUUGACUUGGAGUUUAUUGAAAAUAUGAAAGUGGAGAAACUUAUUAAAAAACUGCAGGGAGAUCUGGAGGAGGUGUGGAGGUUGUUGAAGACAGAAAAGAUGUCCUUAGAGCUGGCGUUAGCUUCCAGAGAGAAAACACAGGCUGAUCUCAAAAUGCUCCCGUCUUGUGAAGACCUCCUGGAGUUGCUGAAGGUGGUCUUCAGAGUGACUUCUCCAUCGACUCAGUUACCAGACCUGGCGUCGCUCAUGGACAUGGCGACGAGAGAAAACAUCCAAAGAGUCUCUGAUGAGAAGAGGCUUGAGCUCACUCGCAUGGAGAACGUGGCGGCAAACAAGAGGAAGAAAGCGGCUCAGGAGAGAGGGCAGCUUGAAAAACAAAUCGCCAGUGAACGGCUGAAGAUCCAGGGAUUAAUGAGCCAGUUGACAAACCUGAAAUCUGAACUUGCACAACAAGAGGAAGUCUAUAAGGCUCUUAAAAUGCAGACCAACACUCCAGAAGCAGGAGAGGCCUCAGAGAAACAACAAGCCACUAAAAGACGAGCCAAGGGUCGAGGAAAGGGAGGAACCAAGGCUGUUAACUUUACAGAAAAGCUUCAGGGUGCAACAAACAACACAUGGGAAACUCCGAAGACAAAACGGAAGCCUGCAGCGGCAGAGAAGCCGCAGAGGUCUGUUAAAGGAGCCAGAGGGCCGCUGAAGAAAGUCGAGGAGCAAGAGGCAAAUUCACAAGAGUCUGUGAGAGGGAGAAGAAAGCGGCUUCUACCCACAGCGACUGCAGCGUCACUACCAAAGAAACAAAGUGGCGGGAAAACUGGGGAAGCCUCGUCCACGUCACGGCCGGCGGCUCCCUCGCAGGACAGGAAGCACGCGGCUGCAGGCGACGCUGAGGAGAGCCGAGACACUGUUCUGAGGAGAUCCAAGAGGAUCGCCAGCAGGAGGUGAAGGUUCACUCGAGUGGCUGGUGCAGACUGCUGACUCAUCCUUUUUCUUUGACUUGCUGAAUUUAAUUCCAACAAUGGGAAUUCUUUUUUUAAUUUUGUGCUUUUGAAAGUAUGUAAUUUUAAAAAUCCAAUCUGCUGUUUUUAAUUUGUUUUUUAUAUAAAAAAAAUUAAAUGUAACUUUCAAGAGACUAGAGCAUAGUGUUUGUUGAAUGAUGAAGUUUCCACUAAAGUUGAUCAAUAAAGUCAAUUUAUAAACCGAAUUAUUCCCAAAGAUUAAAUCUUUAAAAACUUUAAUUUUAGGAAAAUCUCUUCAGUCUGUGAAGGGAGGUCAAAGAUCAUUUGCUGAUUUAAUGUUUGUUCAAUGACCUGGAUGCUUGUCGGCACAAGAGCCUGAAGCCAAACCCUUAUGACAAACUGAAUUAAAUGUGAUGUUUAAUUUGUGGUUAAAUAAGAAUUCAAUUCCUUCACGCGUUUUUUUUUAUCACUCAUGUCUGUUUAUUGAUUUUCUAUAAAUCGGUAACAAAGCUUUGUUCUCGCUGCGAGUGCUUUGAUUUCUC